CGAGAGGAAAAAAGGGCGCCGGCGCUGAGGGAGCGCGAGCCCUCCGAAGGCGGCGGCGAGAGGGGCGGCUGGCUUGCUGGCUCUGCGCCUGCGCAGUCGCGUCCUUGGCUCCCCCUCCCCAGUUUGCUCGCCCUCUCUCCGUCUCCUCGCGCGCCUCGCUGAGGGGCCAAGCCAAGGCGCCCCGGCUCCCCGCCUGAGGAGAGAGACCCCCGCUUCUUGGGGCGCCCUCUUGGGCCUCUCCCCCCUGUCAGCCAUGGCUCAGAUACUCCCCAUUCGGUUUCAGGAGCACUUUCAGCUCCAAAAUCUUGGAAUUAAUCCAGCAAACAUUGGAUUCAGUACCUUAACGAUGGAGUCUGACAAAUUCAUAUGUAUCAGAGAGAAAGUGGGUGAGCAAGCACAAGUUGUGAUCAUAGACAUGAGCGACCCGACAACUCCUAUCAGACGCCCAAUCUCUGCCGAAAGUGCCAUCAUGAACCCUGCUUCGAAAGUGAUUGCUCUCAAAGCGGGGAAAACCCUCCAGAUUUUUAACAUUGAGAUGAAAAGUAAAAUGAAAGCACACACAAUGGCCGAGGAGGUGAUCUUUUGGAAAUGGAUAUCUGUGAACACAGUGGCCUUAGUGACGGAGACGGCUGUGUAUCACUGGAGCAUGGAAGGGGACUCUCUGCCCCAAAAGAUGUUCGACAGGCACGCCAGUCUCGCAGGUUGCCAAAUCAUCAAUUACAGAACGGAUGAGAAUCAAAAGUGGCUGCUCCUCAUAGGAAUCUCCGCCCAGCAAAACCGUGUGGUUGGCGCUAUGCAGCUGUAUUCGGUGGAUCGAAAAGUCUCACAGCCUAUCGAAGGACACGCAGCAGCCUUUGCGGAGUUCAAGAUAGAAGGAAAUGGCAAGCCUUCCACCCUUUUCUGUUUUGCAGUGCGUAGCCCCGCAGGUGGCAAGUUGCAUAUCAUCGAAGUGGGCCAGCCUGCCUCUGGAAACCAGCCUUUUGUCAAGAAAGCAGUUGAUGUGUUCUUUCCGCCUGAGGCUCAAACUGAUUUCCCUGUAGCAAUGCAGAUUGGAACAAAACAUGGUGUUAUCUAUCUGAUCACAAAGUAUGGAUACAUUCACAUGUAUGAUUUGGAAUCUGGUGUCUGCAUCUACAUGAACCGUAUUAGUGCGGACACCAUCUUUGUCACGGCUCCUCAUGAACCUACCUCUGGUAUAAUUGGAGUGAACAAAAAGGGGCAGGUACUCUCUGUUUGUGUGGAAGAAGAUAACAUUGUCAAUUACGCCACCAAUGUGCUCCAGAAUCCGGACUUGGGACUGCGUAUGGCAAUCCGGAGUAACUUGGCUGGAGCGGAGGAACUCUUCGCCAGGAAGUUUAAUACUCUUUUUGCACAAGGAAACUACGCAGAAGCAGCCAAAGUUGCCGCAUCUGCACCAAAGGGAAUCCUACGAACCAGUGAUACCAUUCGGAAGUUCCAGAGCGUGCCUGCACAACCGGGGCAGGCCUCGCCCUUGCUGCAGUAUUUUGGCAUCCUCCUCGAUCAAGGCCAGCUCAACAAGUUUGAGUCGCUCGAACUCUGCCGUCCCGUCCUUCAACAAGGCCGCAAACAGCUGCUAGAAAAAUGGCUGAAAGAAGAUAAGCUGGAAUGCUCUGAGGAACUGGGAGACCUAGUCAAGUCUGCGGACCCAACUCUUGCCCUCAGCGUUUAUCUCCGUGCAAAUGUCCCGAACAAAGUAAUCCAGUGUUUUGCAGAAACUGGUCAGUUCCAGAAAAUUGUCCUUUAUGCCAAAAAGGUUGGCUAUACGCCAGAUUGGAUUUUCCUAUUGAGAAGUGUCAUGAGAGUCAGCCCAGAUCAGGGCCUCCAGUUUGCCCAGAUGUUGGUACAAGAUGAGGAACCCCUGGCCAAUAUCAACCAGAUUGUUGAUGUCUUCAUGGAGAAUAGUUUAAUUCAGCAGUGUACUUCCUUCUUGUUGGAUGCCUUGAAAAAUAAUCGACCUGCAGAAGGGCACCUUCAGACCCGUCUCCUUGAGAUGAACCUCAUUCAUGCUCCGCAGGUUGCAGAUGCCAUCUUAGGAAAUCAGAUGUUCACCCACUACGACCGGGCUCACAUUGCCCAGCUUUGUGAAAAAGCAGGCCUGUUACAGCGUGCGUUGGAGCACUACACUGACCUUUAUGACAUCAAGCGGGCUGUUGUUCAUACUCAUCUUUUGAACCCAGAGUGGCUUGUGAACUUCUUUGGCUCUCUGUCCGUGGAAGACUCCGUAGAGUGCCUGCGCGCCAUGCUGUCUGCCAACAUCCGGCAAAAUCUGCAGCUCUGUGUGCAAGUUGCUUCGAAGUACCAUGAACAGUUGGGCACGCAGUCUCUUGUGGAGCUUUUUGAAUCCUUUAAAAGUUAUGAAGGUCUGUUUUAUUUCUUGGGCUCUAUUGUGAACUUCAGCCAGGACCCAGAUGUCCACUUCAAAUAUAUCCAGGCUGCUUGCAAGACAGGCCAAAUCAAGGAAGUUGAAAGGAUCUGCCGAGAAAGCAACUGCUACAAUCCAGAACGGGUGAAAAACUUCUUGAAGGAAGCCAAGCUUACUGACCAGCUUCCUCUCAUCAUUGUUUGUGACAGAUUUGACUUUGUUCACGACCUGGUUCUCUACUUGUAUCGAAACAACCUACAGAAAUACAUUGAGAUCUAUGUUCAAAAGGUCAACCCAAGCCGUAUCCCAGCCGUGGUUGGAGGGCUCCUUGAUGUGGAUUGCUCCGAAGAUGUCAUUAAGAACUUGAUCAUGGUGGUGAGAGGCCAGUUCUCCACCGAUGAAUUGGUUGCUGAAGUCGAAAAAAGGAAUAGGCUGAAGCUGCUUCUGCCGUGGCUCGAGUCCCGGAUCCAUGAAGGCUGCGAAGAACCGGCAACCCACAAUGCCCUGGCGAAGAUCUAUAUCGACAGCAAUAACAACCCGGAGCGCUUCUUGCGGGAGAACCCCUUCUACGACAGCCGGGUUGUAGGGAAAUACUGCGAAAAAAGGGACCCGCACUUGGCCUGUGUGGCUUACGAAAGGGGCCAAUGUGACCUUGAGCUGAUCAAGGUCUGCAACGAGAACUCCUUGUUCAAGAGUGAAGCACGGUAUCUGGUUCGCAGAAAAGAUCCAGAACUGUGGGUCAGUGUUCUGGAGGAAAACAAUCCAUUCAGAAGACCACUCAUUGAUCAGGUUGUCCAGACGGCAUUAUCGGAGACUCAGGAUCCAGAGGAGGUUUCGGUGACAGUCAAGGCCUUCAUGACAGCCGACCUGCCCAAUGAACUCAUUGAGUUGCUUGAAAAGAUUGUUCUGGAUAAUUCAGUCUUCAGUGAACAUAGGAACCUCCAGAAUCUACUGAUUUUGACUGCCAUCAAAGCAGACCGCACACGUGUGAUGGAAUACAUCAACCGCCUGGAUAACUACGAUGCCCCAGAUAUUGCCAACAUUGCUAUAAGCAAUGAACUCUAUGAAGAAGCGUUUGCCAUCUUUAGGAAGUUUGAUGUGAAUACCUCUGCAAUUCAGGUCUUGAUUGAGCAUAUCGGCAACCUGGACCGUGCCUAUGAGUUUGCAGAGAGAUGUAAUGAACCUGCGGUUUGGAGCCAGCUGGCGAGGGCCCAGCUCCAAAAGGACCUGGUGAAGGAAGCCAUUGACUCUUACAUCAAGGCCGACGAUCCUUCUGCUUAUAUGGAGGUUGUGCAGGCCGCCAACAAGAACGAUAACUGGGAGGACCUGGUUAAGUUCUUGCAGAUGGCUAGGAAAAAGGCCAGAGAGUCUUACGUCGAGACCGAACUCAUUUUUGCCUUGGCCAAAACGAAUCGGCUCUCAGAGUUAGAGGAAUUUGUCAGUGGCCCAAACAACGCUCACAUACAACAGGUGGGAGAUCGCUGCUACGAGGAGGGGAUGUAUGAUGCAGCCAAGCUGUUGUACAACAACGUCUCUAACUUUGCCCGCCUGGCAUCUACGCUAGUUCAUCUGGGAGAGUACCAGGCUGCAGUGGAUAGUGCCCGCAAAGCCAACAGCACCAGGACAUGGAAAGAGGUCUGCUUUGCCUGCGUGGAUGGAAAGGAGUUCCGGCUUGCGCAGAUCUGUGGCUUACACAUAGUGAUCCAUGCCGACGAGCUUGAAGAACUGAUCAGUUAUUAUCAGGACCGUGGAUACUUCGAAGAGCUGAUUGCCCUCUUAGAAGCAGCCCUGGGCCUGGAGCGGGCUCAUAUGGGCAUGUUCACCGAGCUGGCCAUCUUGUAUUCGAAAUACAAACCUCAGAAGAUGAGGGAGCACCUGGAACUGUUCUGGUCCCGAGUCAAUAUCCCAAAGGUGCUUCGAGCUGCAGAGCAAGCUCAUCUAUGGGGAGAGCUGGUGUUCCUCUAUGACAAAUAUGAAGAGUACGAUAACGCCAUCAUUACGAUGAUGAACCAUCCCACUGAUGCUUGGAAAGAAGGGCAGUUUAAGGACAUCAUUGCCAAGGUAGCCAACGUGGAGCUGUAUUACAAAGCCCUGCAGUACUACUUGGAUUAUAAGCCUUUGUUGAUCAACGACCUUCUCUUGGUGUUGUCUCCGCGGCUGGAUCACACCAGGACGGUCAGUUUUUUCACCAAGGUGAAUCAGCUGCCUCUCGUGAAACCUUACUUGCGCUCAGUCCAGAACCAUAAUAAUAAAGGAGUCAAUGAGGCUCUAAACAACCUUUUGACGGAAGAGGAGGACUACCAGGGCUUGCGAGCAUCUAUUGAUGCCUACGACAAUUUUGACAACAUUACACUCGCUCAGCGCUUGGAGAAACAUGAGUUGAUCGAAUUCAGACGUAUUGCUGCUUACCUGUACAAAGGCAACAACAGAUGGAAACAGAGUGUGGAGCUCUGCAAGAAAGAUCGUCUUUAUAAGGAUGCCAUGCAAUAUGCAGCGGAAUCCAAGGAUGCUGAGCUGGCGGAGAAGCUGCUCCAGUGGUUCCUGGAAGAAGACAAGAAGGAGUGUUUCGCAGCCUCUCUGUUUACAUGCUACGACUUAUUGCAUCCCGACGUGGUCCUUGAGCUUGCCUGGAGACACAACAUUAUGGACUUUGCAAUGCCUUAUUUCAUCCAGGUGAUGAGGGAAUACCUUACCAAAGUCGAUGGUCUGUUUCAUAAGGUGGAUAAACUUGAUGCUUCUGAAAGCCUAAGGAAAGAAGAACAAGAGGUCACGGAACCCACUCCAAUAGUAUUCGGUCCCUCCAUUUAAAAGAAGUUCAUGACGGUGAGGUCAGUGUCCUAGUGGGAAUGGCUUUCUGUGGGAAUUCAGUAUUCCCUGCAUGAGGCCAGCAGCUGAUGCUCACGGCAGGCCCCACCGCAGUACCUCCGCAAGCCAACUUCUCCUAUGGGUACCCGGCGCCAGGAUUCACCCACCCGCCAGUUUACGGUUUCAAUAUGUAGCUUACGCUGUGGCCGACUACCGUUUUGCCCGGUCGCCUUCUCUCCCAGCCUCCUUUUCCUUCUUAUUUUCUUCUUCCGUUUGUCCGCGGAGACAACUUCCAGCAACCGGCUCAUUUUUGCAGUCCCGUUCAGCUCAGCGCCAUCCCAAGGGCACUGUGUUAUUUAUUGCUAUGUCCUGUUACAUUUCACCUCCGAACGAGGCAGCUUCCUAACCUCCGCUCCCCUCCGCUCACCCUGACAUUUCAAGGAGGGCAAAGGCGGCACCUCUCCGAAGCCGACAGCAUGGCAGGUAACUCCUUGAGGACAGGAGGGACGGAGGGAUCCGACACCCUGGUGCUUCCGGCCAUUUGCAGAACCCCCUCCCCUUUCCUCACUCUUUCCACCCUCCCUCCAUUUAUUUGUAGAGCCGCGCAGUAAGGCAACACAAAACUGUGGGGGGGGGGGGGGGCGGGGGCGCUGCAAUUUACAGAAUGUUGCAAAAAAUAUAUUAUUAUCUAUGCCUUCUGAAGUAGUGCUUGAAACUAUUGGAGAAUAAAUGGGAUCGUAUCUCAGAGCUGA